rnacentral:lncRNA from 10 species
UUUUUUUUUUUUUUUUUUUUUUGGAGACGGAGAUUUCCUCUUGUUGCCCAGGCUGGUGGCUCCCCUCCAUUGUGCAAUGAUGCAAUCUCGGCUCACUACAACCUUCACCUCUAGGCUUCAAGCAAUUCUCCUGCCUCAGCCUCCUAAGUAGCUGGGAUUACAGAGACCGGGUUCUUCCAAGUUGUCCAGGCUGGUCUUGAAUUCCUGGGGUGAAGCGAUCCUCCCACCUGGGCCUCCCAAAGUGCUGGGAUUACAGGCCUGAGCCACUGUGACUACCUGAUACGUCUCUUCUCUCUUGCUGCUUUCAAAAUCCUGUCUUUUGUGGGAGGGCAGCUGCCGAGCUCUGGACUUCUACGGGAUCAUCCACUGAGGACAGGAGGACCGGGCCCUCUACAGACACUGCUCUAGUACCAGUCCUGGCUCUUUGCCCCAGGAGCAAAUUAAAAGCUUGACGGCGUCUCCAGGUCUCUGGAUCUCUGUGCAUUGCUCUUCAUGCUUGUUCCUGUUCCUCAGAGGGUACUACCUCAGGCAGCUUCGAUUUUCAAUCAUGGAUCUGAUGACUUUCAACAAACUUUCCUGAGGAAAGUGCUGUUCUCACCAGAAGAGAUCUCAGGACAAAUGUAGACAGCCCUG